rnacentral:rRNA from 1 species
GACGAACGCUGGCGGCGUGCUUAACACAUGCAAGUCGAACGGAAAAUCCCUGCUUGUUUUUGUUGCUCGCGUGGCGAACGUGUGUGUAACACGUGAGUAUCCUUCCCUUGAGUUUGGGAUAACUUCAAGAAGCUGGUACUAAUACCUAAUAGGUGCUCCUGCUGCAUGGUGGGGGUUGGAAAGUUUCCGCGGUGUGGAAUGUACUCGCGGCUUAUCAGCUUGUUGGUGGGGUAGUGGCUUACCAAGGCAUUGCCGGGUAGCGGGCCUGAGAGGGUGACCUGACACAUUGGGAUUGGGAUAAGGCCCAGACUAGUAUGGGAGGCAGCAGAGGAGAAUAUUGUAUAAUGGGAGGAAGCCUGAUGCAGUGAAGCCGCGUGGGGGAUGACGGCAAUCGGGUUGUAAAGCGCUUUCGCAUGUGACGAAGCGUGAGUGACGGUAAUGGGCAAAGAAGCACCGGCUAACUACGUG